AGUGAACGCUGGCGGUAGGCCUAACACAUGCAAGUCGAACGGCAGCACAGUAAGAGCUUGCUCUUACGGGUGGCGAGUGGCGGACGGGUGAGGAAUACAUCGGAAUCUACUUUUUCGUGGGGGAUAACGUAGGGAAACUUACGCUAAUACCGCAUACGACCUACGGGUGAAAGCAGGGGAUCUUCGGACCUUGCGCGAUUGAAUGAGCCGAUGUCGGAUUAGCUAGUUGGCGGGGUAAAGGCCCAUCAAGGCGACGAUCCGUAGCUGGUCUGAGAGGAUGAUCGGCCACACUGGAACUGAGACACGGUCCAGACUCCUACGGGAGGCAGCAGUGGGGAAUAUUGGACAAUGGGCGCAAGCCUGAUCCAGCCAUACCGCGUGGGUGAAGAAGGCCUUCGGGUUGUAAAGCCCUUUUGUUGGGAAAGAAAAGCAGCAGGUUAAUACCCCGCUGUUCUGACGGUACCCAAAGAAUAAGCACCGGCUAACUUCGUG
rnacentral:rRNA from 1 species